AUCUUUAAAAUUAAAAAAUUUGGCGGUAUUUUAGUCUUUUCAGAGGAACCUGUUUUUUGAUUGAUGGUCCACGAUUAUUGUUACUUCUGUUUUUAAUUUAUAUAUCAUCGUUUGUAAAGAUUUUAUUAAUUAAUUUUUUCAGAUCAAGGUGUAGUUUAUAUAGAAGUUAAAAUGGGUUACAUUAUAAAUUAAUAAUAAAUUGGAUUUGAUAGUAAGCUCUAAAAUAUGUACAUAUCGCCCGUCGCUUUCGUUAUAAAAUGAAAUAAGUCGUAACAAAGUAGAUCUAUUGGAAAAUGGAUCUGGAAUGCAGGAAAAAGCUGAAUUAGCGUUUUAUUUACAUUAAAAAGUUGGUUAUUUAUUUAAUUUGAUUAAGAAAUUUUAUUAGAAUUAUUUUUUUUUUGUUUAUUUUUAAAAUAUUAUAGAUUUUAUUAUUUUUUUGAAAAAAUUUAAUGAUAGGGUAUUAGUACUGAAGGGGAAUAGGUUUAGUUUAGUGAAAGAAGAUUUAUUUUGUUGUACCUUGUGUAUCAGGGUUAUUUAAUUGAUUUCUCGAUUUUUAAGGAGUUACUUUUAUUGUAUUAUAAAUAUUUUUAAUAUGAAAGUUGUAAUGAAACGUUAUUCGUCUUAAAGUGUAUCUAGUUAUUCAAGAAAUUAGUUUAAUUGACUUUAACUAAGGGAUUGAUUUAAGGGAUAAUCUUUUAAUUAGAUUUUUAUAAAGAUUAAAUUAUUAGUUAGAAUUAGAAUUUUUUAUUGUUUUUAAUGUGUUAUAAUUAUUUUUAAAUUGUUUAUUGAAUUAAGUACUUAAAUUUUAAUAGUACUUUAAUAAUGAAUAAAUUAGUAAGAUUAAUUAAAGGAAUUCGGCAAAAAUAAUUUUCACCUGUUUAUUAAAAACAUGUCCUUUAGAGUAUGAUUUAAGGUCGGGCCUGCCCAAUGAUUAAAUGGCCGCAGUAUAUUGACUGUGCAAAGGUAGCAUGAUCAUUAGUUUUUUAAUUGGAAGCUGGUAUGAAUGGUUUAAUGAGAAAUUAACUGUCUCUUGAAUUUUAUUUUUAAGUGAAAAAGCUUAAAUUUUGGUUAAAGACGAGAAGACCCUAUAGAGUUUUUUUAUUGGGGUGAUAGAAAAAUUUAAUUAACUUUUUUAUUUUAUGAUUAAUUGAUCCUAGAUUAUUAGAUUAAA
rnacentral:rRNA from 1 species